GAACCAAGACCUGUCAUGUAAAGAAUGUAACAACAACAACAACAAAAAAGCAGAGGCCAGUGAAAAUGCAAGAAAAACUACAGUGAAGGAGACAGCCCUCACAGGAAAGAAUUAUCCAGCAUAAAAUGUCAGUACUGAUAUGCCUGAGAAACUUUGGACUACAUGAACAACAAAUGAAGACAAUCAUAAAUUACAAUGAUUACUGAGGCUACAGACACAAAAUUAUGAUACUUGCCUUGGACUUUUUUCCCCCCUUCAUUAUUAAUUCCAAGAAGUGACAAAGGAAAGAGCUGAGAGACAAAUCCCGUAACUACCACUGCAUUUAACUUUAAAGAUAUGGAAAGGGUGCUAAAUUUAAUAACUAGCAGAGAAAGUUAUAUUUGGAUUGAUUUACUUACAUUAAACCUAUUGUUCAUCAGAACAUGCUCAAGUCAGUUGUAGUGUAAAAUGUCCUAAUGGGCAGUUUAGCUUUGAAAAGCUGCCUCUUGGGGUUAAGGGACUUUGCUGGCAGGCCCUGGUGCAUUUGUGGUCACACUGGGAAGCUCUUUCCCGGUAAUGUGAUGGUGGGAAGGCCACACUGUUCUCCACUUCAAAAGUUCCUUCCAAGUUACUAAAAUGUGCUUCAAAAUCAUUUGCUAGACAAAAAUAAUAGAUGCUGUAUCAUACUGUUCUUGUCAGAUUUCUCUGCCGUGAUAUUCACUGUGCAGCAACUUAUAUAUUUCUUUCUGGUUAAAAACAAACACAAACAAAUACUAAUCCAACACAUUAGGAAGAAAGAUGACUUGGAUCCAAAUGCUAAUUAGAAGGAAGAGAAUUCUAAGACCUUCUGUAGCCCUGUGCCAGGAGGUCCUUCAAGAAAUAGGUUACAAAUAAAGUAGAGCUUUGGCAUUUUCAUAUUUACAUUUAUUUGAAAAGAUGCACAUGCUUUAAAGGGACGGCACGAAACAUUACCUACAGAGAACCACCAUUUCUUCUUCUACAUUCACGAUCCUCUUCUGCAAUCAAUGGAUUACAGAUGGUUUUAUUCCUGUAAUUCAGCUGUGAGAAAGAGUGUCCUAUAUCCCUGACCCUACAUCAACUGACAGAGACUCCAGCCCUCUGAGCGAAUGAGGGGUUCUUCCUGAAAGAAUUUUCAAAACUAUUUAUGCUUGUUCCUUGAAGUCAAAAGAUUAGAUGUUAAUCACGUUAAGUAAAUCUUAGCAGGAAUCAGUUAUACUGCCCCAUGCUUUCCAAACCAGGGAAUAUUAUCUUAAUUUGAACUUUUGUAUCAUACAGUCAGACUGUUUUAAUAAUAGUCAGUGGUGCAUGUGGGCUGCAGCAAAAUACUGUCUUGGCCAGAGAGACUGAGGUGUGGGAAGUUGUUAUGUCUGGUUUCCCAGAGUAACACUACACACUUUGACUUUCAACGUGUUUGCAACAAACAUCUGUUAAACACUGGUGUGCUAGACAUUAUGCUAUUUAUGAAGACAGAGAGGUUACCAAGAUGUGAGUGCUGCCCUCAUAAAGCUUACUGUGUAGUAGCAAAGAGAGACAAAUAAAUUGGGCUGAUAAUUACCAUUUUCUAAAUGUGCUUAAUAGAUAUGGGAACAGCACUCUUCUGGGAGAGUCAAAGGAUAAGUUUAACUCUUAAAUGAAAAUAUCUGUAUUGCCUAAUUGAAAAUAUCUGAUCCUAAAUAUUCAUGUAAAAAGUUAUGAACAAAGAUGAGAAAGUAAAAUGACUUUAAACUCAUUACUGAGAAAUAACUACUGAUGCUAUUUUGGUAUAGUUUCUCCAGAAAUGUUAUAGAUAGUAUUAUAUAGUGUACUUGUUUACCAGAGUCUUCCUCACAAUAAACACUUAGUCUACCUAGUCAACCUGCAUUGUGAGAAAUUUCCUCCUUUUUAUCUUUGUUGGUUCGGAGAUCAGACGACCAAACUUAUUUGGAUGAUGUCUAAAAAGACCAAAUUUCACUGAACACAGGUCUAAAGGCCUCUUCUCAGAGACCAGAGCCUGAGCUUUAGCACAUGGUUUCUAUUUUGACUCCUUAAAGGCCCCUUUCCCACUCGCUUCCUUGGUUUUAGCUGUGUUCCUGGUACUUGAGGUUAUUGGACAGAUGACCUCUCCAUAAGUGAGCUGCUUUUUUCUAAAUGUAGUUCCUGACUUAUAGAAACUAAUGAGAAUUUGGCAAUGCUUGGCUAUUAAUAGCUUGUCACUAUUAAGCAGUGAGCAAAAGUGGCCUCAAUUUUAA